GGUUUCAGUUAUCGGCUUCGGCUACGAUCUCUGUAACGAUUUGCGAUUGUCUUCUUGCAAGCCGGGUCCAUCGGGGUCUAAGCUGAUACUUCAUUCGAAGUAGAGACCUUGUACUUCCGGCUGGCGUUGUCGUCCCUAAUGUUCCUACUUCCAUCAACUGUGAUAAAGGCGAGCGUACCCGAUUCCGGUCGGAUGUCAUCUCCUUCAAUCAGAUAUGUGAGGUGCGAAGGCUUUUAGGACCCUUGUCGGGCAAAUCAUCAAUUUACUGUUCGGAUCCAUCCGUUUUGAGAUAUCUAAGAGCAAGAAACUGGAAUGUGAAGAAGGCAACUAAAAUGUUGAAAGCAACUUUGAAGUGGAGGUCAGAAUACAACUUUGGUUGAAAGCUAAGCGAUUGUGUAGAAAUGGUCAAGCGACCGUUGAAAAUUGAAGACUGAGAAGGCAUUUAGGAUUUUUAAUUAUUUAAUUCUUGUAUUAGAAUCUUUUUUCAUGUACUAUUGUAGAAUUGUAUAUAUAAACAUAAUAUUAAUAUUUUAUUUUGUGUAUUCAAAUGUAAAAGACAAAUGUUAUAGUUUCUAACAUAAUAUGAAUUUCAUUGA